ensembl:lncRNA
AGAAUAACCAUCGAGUUAUUGGACUUUGAGCUAAGAUGAAUGUUUAAAUCCUGAGGACUAGGCGCUAAAUAACAGCUGACGCAGGUGCUACGCAGAAGUGGAUUCAGUGAAGCUAGGAAGACAGGAGCGGCAGACAGGAUUCGGAGCCAGUGUUGGUGAAAACUAGGACUGAGGAGCCAGCGGCAGUUCGUGAAGAUAGGAAAGAGAAGCCCGGGAGCCAGUGCGACUUGGUGAAGGAAGCUAGGAAGAAGGAGCGAGUCCUAACGAUUUGGAGGUGAAGCUAGGAGAGGAUUCCAGGAAGGAGGAAGCCAGUGCGGUGUGGUGAAGCUAGCGUGCGGCUUGGCUUGGCAACCACGCGGAGGCGGCGAGCAGGCGGAGUGGAGGAUAGAUAGAGGAUCCUAGAGCAGCAGACCAGUGUACGAGCCCCGCAGGGAGAGCCAGUGGUGUGGUAAAAAUCCGUGAAGUCGGCACUAUCGUGGGUUUUUUUUCCUCCUGUAACUCAGUAUGGUGAUUUAAUAAAACUUAAUACUACUAUAGGAGCUUCAGAGCAAAGGAGGUGGCUUAAUGAUCCUGAAGGGAUUUCUUCUGGUGGUAGCUUUUGUAUUAUCAAGUAAGAUUCUUUUUUCGGCUGUAUAUAAGCAAGAUUGUUUGGUUUAUUCUUUUCUUUUUAGCGUAGGAAAAGUUUGUUGUUAAGGUAUGCUUCAAAAUUAUUGUUAAUUGUAUUUUGAAUUUACAUCUAAGCCUUGUAAAUCAUAACUGAUAAGAGGGGGUGGGCUUUUGUUGAUGAGGGAGGGGAAACCUUUUUUUUUUGUAG